rnacentral:rRNA from 1 species
CUCCUGGAUUUAGCGGCGGACGGGUGAGUMAUGCCUAGGAAUCUGCCUGGUAGUGGGGGACAACUCGGGGAAACCCGAGCUAAUACCGCAUACGUCCUACGGGAGAAAGUGGGGGAUCUUCGGACCUCACGCUAUCAGAUGAGCCUAGGUCGGAUUAGCUUGUUGGUGAGGUAACGGCUCACCAAGGCUGCGAUCCGUAACUGGUCUGAGAGGAUGAUCAGUCACACUGGAACUGAGACACGGUCCAGACUCCUACGGGAGGCAGCAGUGGGGAAUAUUGGACAAUGGGGGCAACCCUGAUCCAGCCAUGCCGCGUGUGUGAAGAAGGUCUUCGGAUUGUAAAGCACUUUAAGUUGGGAGGAAGGGUUGCGUGUUAAUAGCACGUAGUCUUGACGUUACCAACAGAAUAAGCACCGGCUAACUCUGUGCCAGCAGCCGCGGUAAUACAGAGGGUGCAAGCGUUAAUCGGAAUUACUGGGCGUAAAGCGCGCGUAGGCGGUCAAGUAAGAUGGGUGUGAAAUCCCCGGGCUCAACCUGGGAACUGCAUCCAUAACUGCUUGACUAGAGUACAGUAGAGGGUGGUGGAAUUUCCUGUGUAGCGGUGAAAUGCGUAGAUAUAGGAAGGAACACCAGUGGCGAAGGCGACCACCUGGACUGAUACUGACGCUGAGGUGCGAAAGCGUGGGGAGCAAACAGGAUUAGAUACCCUGGUAGUCCACGCCGUAAACGAUGUCAACUAGCCGUUGGGGACCUUGAGUCUUUAGUGGCGCAGCUAACGCACUAAGUUGACCGCCUGGGGAGUACGGCCGCAAGGUUAAAACUCAAAUGAAUUGACGGGGGCCCGC